CUGUGCUUCAGGAUGCAUUAUAUGCCUUAACCCAGCUGUGGUGGCCCAAUAAAGAGAACCCCAAGGACUGAGUUCCCUGAGGAAAGCACUGGUUAAAAGAACAUUUUAGAUUCUGGGUAGAGGCAUAACAGGAUUGACAUCUCCCUGGAAUAAUAUGGCAGCUGGCAGGACUUUGAGUAACUCCUCUUUUGAGAACACAAGGUUUUCACCCCUAAAAGGAUGCUGAGGCUCGGAGGGAUUGACUGCACUGGAUAUUCUUUGUCUGUUCAUCUAGAUCCACUUUCUGCUCUUAUCAACUCUGCAUGACACGCAGGCCUAGGAGGGAUCCUGGCUUCCCCCUGUUCGUAUCCCUGAGAUGCUUCCUCAACUACUGGCCUUACUUGAACCUGCCUUCGCUUGGCUUCUGCCACGCUACUAUUGUUACCAGCGUGAAUGGGAACAUUCUUAACAGGAGAAUGUGAGUGAAGACCUGCUCACAUGAUGGAAGGACGAUGUAUGAUCUCCGGCGAAUACGCAAGUUACAAGUUAUAGCAUUCAUUUAUUUCAUCAUCUCAACUCUUCCUUAAACCUCAUCAUAUUUAAACACAGGUUUUAUUUUUAACAGAUUUAUUUUAUAGGAAAAGCUAGGCAACAUUGAAACGCACACCAUGUUAGUCAAAGGGU
rnacentral:lncRNA from 1 species